AUUAUAUCAUCUCUUAGAGUAAACCAUUAAAAAUUAUUAUAAGAGAGAGGCCCACAAAGCUACCAGUUUAAUUGGCCAACCUUUUGGAUCAAGGUAAAAAGAAAAUAGCAAAUGAAAAUAGACGAAAAUUAUCUCCUAUAAUAGAUGCAAUAAUUACAUGUGGAAAUCAAUGUAUGGCAUUAAGAGGUCAUCGAGAUUCAGAGCUAUUCUCAGAAACCGAGCAAUUGGAGGAUGAGCUCAGGAUUAACUUGUUAAAUGCAUCGAAAAAUGCUAC